rnacentral:tRNA from 1 species
ACUCCCAUGGCGUAGUGGUCACUGCGCUCGCCUUGCACGCGGGAGACCCGGGUUCGAUUCCCGGCGGGGUC